rnacentral:rRNA from 1 species
UGGGGAAUAUUGCGCAAUGGGCGAAAGCCUGACGCAGCGACGCCGCGUGAGGGAUGAAGGUUCUCGGAUCGUAAACCUCUGUCAGGGGGGAAGAAACCCCCUCGUGUGAAUAAUGCGAGGGCUUGACGGUACCCCCAAAGGAAGCACCGGCUAACUCCGUGCCAGCAGCCGCGGUAAUACGGAGGGUGCAAGCGUUAAUCGGAAUCACUGGGCGUAAAGCGCACGUAGGCGGCCUGGUAAGUCAGGGGUGAAAUCCCACAGCCCAACUGUGGAACUGCCUUUGAUACUGCCAGGCUUGAGUACCGGAGAGGGUGGCGGAAUUCCAGGUGUAGGAGUGAAAUCCGUAGAUAUCUGGAGGAACACCGGUGGCGAAGGCGGCCACCUGGACGGUAACUGACGCUGAGGUGCGAAAGCGUGGGUAGCAAACAGG